AACAAGAGCCGCCAUCUUCUCGCGCCUAACGUUUCGUAUGGUUUUGUUCUCUGCAAUCCGCGCACACAGCGCAUCGGUGGCUGCACGUCUGCUCGGCGUCGCAAUGCGGCCUGCGUCAUUUUCUGGUGCUCGCGCAAUCGGUGUGAAACAUGUCGCAUGUGAAAUGUUUGAUAGAAGUGCCUCACGUCCAAGUCAAGCCGCCGUACGGGUGCAUGGCUGUGCGCCCCGUUCUCGAAAGCGUCGACGGGUUUCCGGCAUGCGGAUUUCAGCGUUUGGACUCGACUUUUGGUGAGGAUGUCGAUCGACCUUGGGCCUGGUGACAGCACACCCGACAUCGCCAAAGUUCAGCCUAUCAGUUGAGUGCCCCCGAAUGGACCAUCAACAUCGGAAAAUGAAGCAGAGCCAGGGGGAAAAGGUUCCGGUAACACUGCAUUCAGUAUGGUGGCCCAGACGUGUAUGCAAGCAACCUCCUUCAUGUGGACCAAGAACUACUCUGCAGUGUCUCACAGACUUCCAUGCGAAGCCCUCAACAUUCUCAUCUCAGUGGAAUGGCUGCUCAUCUAUCUGUGUGUCCAUCACCAAGAUGGCCAGUUGUAAAGCUCCUGUACCCGUUUAAGACAGCUUAAUGAUUUUUUUAUUUAGUUUUCAUGGUUGGCCGUAGAAUCUUAACAUUUUUGAUGUUUCUAACGUUUUUACCUGGCCCAAAGUGGUGCAAUAACUUUAAACCAGUGUAAUGUAUUUAAGUGAUGCUCACUCUAAUGCCUAUCUGGUUUUGUUUAUGUUUAAGAAAUUUGAAUGUCUGAUGAGGUAACAGCAUUUAAACUUGUCAUCGUGGCUCUUUUCAGUGAGCUGCUAGGAAAUAAGAUGCAAAACUUAUCACACGCCAGUUGUAGCAUUUUUGUUUUCAAGACUAAAGUAUACAUGUUUCAAAAUAUGGAAAGUGGGGAAAAAAGCCUCAAGAACAUAAUCAUCCUAGGAUUGUCAUGUCCUUACAAAUCUGCAAUGACUAAUGCCUCAUACAUCUUGGGAGCACAUUGGUCGCAAUGCCUACAGGUAUACUUGAUAAGAGAAUAGCUCGCACUCAGAUUUGCCACGCAGUUGAUGGCUGAUAGCUUUUGUUUGUCGUCUUCAUGUUACUCCUAUGUAUUCAAUAUUCAUUUACAUGUGCUGCGGUUUUUUGUAGUCACACACACACACACACACACACACACACACAUAUAUAUAUAUAUAUAUAUAUAUAUAUUCUUCGUUUCAAUAAAAAUUUAGUUGAGAGUUAGCGCUCAUCCUGUCUGCUUCUAGUCUGUGUCCGUGUCACUUCGCGCUACAAUCCAAGAUCAGGUUACUGUACCAACUUGCCCAACUUUUUGUCCUUGUGUUAAAGACACACUCAGACUUGUUCUUACGUAUGUGACCGGUUAUUUUUGUGCUUUAUAAUAAGAUGCAGUGCUUUUCAAAUGAAAACAUGUGAUAGUGCGUAGUGAGGUUAUUUAAAAAAACUGUUCUGCUUAAAAUUUAAUUGAGCAAGCCUGUGCCAUUAUUCGGUGCUUAUGUCUUUGUAUUGGUAUGGUUUUACUCAUCUUCCUUUUUACUUUUAAAAUGUGCAAUCAUUAUUAUGUAACCAUUUCUCUUGAAUGAAAUAAAUAUUUCUGACAU